rnacentral:rRNA from 1 species
UACCAGCACCCCGAGUGGUCGGGACGAUUAUUGGGCCUAAAGCAUCCGUAGCCGGUCCUACAAGUCUUCCGUUAAAUCCACCUGCUUAACAGAUGGGCUGCGGAAGAUACUAUAGGGCUAGGAGGCGGGAGAGGCAAGCGGUACUCAGUGGGUAGGGGUAAAAUCCUCUGACCCAUUGAAGACCACCAGUGGCGAAGGCGGCUUGCCAGAACGCGCUCGACGGUGAGGGAUGAAAGCUGGGGGAGCAAACCGG